CCUACGGGCGGCAGCAGUGAGGAAUAUUGGUCAAUGGGCGAAAGCCUGAACCAGCCAAGCCGCGUGAGGGAUGACGGUCCUAUGGAUUGUAAACCUCUUUUAUAAGGGAAUAAAGUGUGGGACGUGUCCUAUUUUGUAUGUACCUUAUGAAUAAGGAUCGGCUAACUCCGUGCCAGCAGCCGCGGUAAUACGGAGGAUCCGAGCGUUAUCCGGAUUUAUUGGGUUUAAAGGGUGCGUAGGCGGCCUCUUAAGUCAGGGGUGAAAGUGUGUGGCUCAACCGUAGAAUUGCCGUUGACACUGGGGGGCUUGAGUAUGGUUGAGGCAGGCGGAAUGCGUGGUGUAGCGGUGAAAUGCUUAGAUAUCACGCAGAACCCCGAUUGCGAAGGCAGCUUGCCAAGCCAUGACUGACGCUGAUGCACGAAAGCGUGGGGAUCAAACAGGAUUAGAUACCCGUGUAGUC
rnacentral:rRNA from 1 species